rnacentral:piRNA from 1 species
UUUGAUGAAUUCUGAUGGCUUUUUGGAA